GGACAGGUGAGAGACGGCCUGAGGUGGCCUCAGGUGAGUCCAGGUGUGCCCAGGUGUGUCCAGGUGAGUUCUGGGUGUCCCCAGGUGAGUUCUGGGUGUCCCCAGGUGUGUUCUGGAUGGUUCCAGGUGUUCCCAGGUGUCCCCAGGUGUCCCCAGGUGAGUUCUGGAUGGUUCCAGGUCCCUUCUGGGUGUCCCCAGGUGUUCCCAGGUGUCCCCAGGUGUGUCCAGGUCCCUUCUGGGUGUCCCCAGGUGACUUUUUGGUCUCUCCAGGUGAAUUUUGGGUGUCCCCAGGUCUGUUCUGGGUGUCCCCAGGUGUCUCCAGGUGUCCCCAGGUGUGUCCAGGUGAGUUCUGGAUCUCCCCAGGUGACUUUUUGGUCUCUCCAGGUCCAUUUUUGGUCUCUCCAGGUGAAUUUUGGGUGUCCCCAGGUGUGUCCAGGUGUCCCCAGGUGUCCCUCCUGUCCCCGGCAGUGUCAGCGCUGUCC